CCCGUUUCAUCCUCAGGCAACACUGCUAGAAAGAGGCCAUCGAUCCCCUGGCCAGCAACCACCAAAGCUGGGAACCGGAAGUGGCCACCGCCCGCGGCCUUAUAAUGCUACUCUGCACCAACACCGCCCCUGUUGCAAAGCAGCCACACUACUGCGGCAUUCACGCAUGGCCCGCAGCCGCCAUUGAUGCAAGCAGGGGAAGGUCGACACCGGGAACGCUACAGUGCGGUUGCAGCAAGGUCGGGCGGAGAGCAUCUCUGGCAAGCACGGCUGUAAGGGUAGUCGUGCGGCUCGUCGGAACGGUGCGUCGGGGCAUCUCCCUCAACUCCGGCGGAAGCAUAGACGACACUACAAUGGAGCUUCGCCGGACUCCGUCGAUGCUGCGUUGGAGCUCCGCCGGAUUUGCAAUGAAGCUUCGCCGGAGUCCGCGGUGCCACCUUGGAGCUCCGCCGGAGUUGCAAUGGAGCUUCACCGGACUCCAUCGAUACUGCGUUGGAGCUCCGCCGAACGCUGUCAGGAUGCGUUGGAGCUAUAGACACGCCGCACAGUGCUGAAGUGGAGCUUUGCCGGAGAGCCAGUAGCGCUGAGUUGGAGCUGGUCUGCUGCUGUGGCGUUGCCGCAUCGAACGGCCACCAGCAUGUUCAUCCGACGGCUGGCUAGGCGGUCGGAUGAUUUGUAGCAUCCGCCAUUUUCUUACGAAGAAAGUUCUACUCCCAUGCAUACACGUUAGGUCACGUUAUAUUUUUUAAAAUAUCAGAACUGCACGUAAUCCCUUUUUUUUGAAUCAGACGCUAAUUCUUAUUAUAGGAUGGAGCCGCAUGUACAGGCUAAGGAUAGCUGUGGUUUUUCUUCUUCUUUUAGAGAUGAAUUUUAUAUUUAUAUAUAUAUAUAAUAUAUAAUAUAUAUAUAUAGGAUUUUGGAUGCAUUUAAGUAAUUAUUAAUAACAUUUUUUAGAUGCAAAUAUUAUUUAUCAUUGCUAUGAUAUUUAUAUUAAGGGGCCUCAAAUUUUACUUUCGCCCCGGGCCCCCAAAAUCUCGGGACCGGCCCUGUCCUUACCAAACGGUUGCACACUUCGAUAUAGAUGAGAAUAUCUCCGAGGGAAAGCACAUAGCAAGAUACAUGCUUACCUACGGGACGGAUCCUUUGUGUGUGUGAUGAACUGAUGACACGAGGAAUCUACUAUAUCACUAAGCUCCGGGGUGGAAACGCUCAGCUUCGAUUCAGCCCAAUCGAUUACCGUGGUGGAUCGAUUUUGACUAGUCUCCCAAGGCAUCCGAAUUUGGGCCGUCCUUUGCUGCCUAAAAUGAUCUCAGUCGUCCACAACGCCCACGGUAGAAAACCUAACCGUCUCUCCUGUCGUACUCGCUCCCUCCGAUUUUCAGCCCCUACUCGGUCUCCUGCACGGCCGACCUCCUCCUCUUCCCGUAGCCCUCAUCCCCGCCUCUCUCAUGCCGCUGCUGCCCUCCGCCUACCCCAUCCCAUGUUCCUCUCCAUUGCGCGUGGCGACUGGACGGCCCCCACCUCCUUCACCAAGGCAACGACAGGAGGAGCGGCGCCAUCUCCACUGACGGCUGCCACGUCGUGAUGGACAUCAUCGUUCCUCUGCUGCAAGCCCACUGCCAACCCUCCACCUCCUCCACAUCCCACUCGCUCGAUGUUGCAAGAGCAAUUGGAGGUCGCGAGGAGAUGAAGCAGCUUGAGGAUAAAUUGGUGAAAAUAUCUAGAAUAUUUUGCCUUUGUCUUAUUUGUGAAGUGGGCUAUGCAUGGGUAUGUUGAUUAGGUAUGUUUUGUUCUAUAUUGUUUUGUUAUAGGUUUGACAUCUGGCAUUCUGUCGGAAAUUAGGUAUGUUGAUUGUCUUUAACUAACUGGGCUAUGCAUGGGUAUGAAUUAGUAUCACACAACACAAAGCAUGCUCAUGCCCUUUAGCAUGGUGGGGUGGUUACAAUUUUUGCAUUGAAUUACCUUCCGCGCAGGCUUGUACAGUUGAUGGAAUUCAUAUGUUUGAUACGAGCAGUGUAGGGAUGUUGCAAUUUUUCAGUUCCUCGCCUUGUAUUAUUUGAAAAUAGUUGGCUCCUAUCGGUGCAUUUAGCAAUAUAAAUAUUAAUUGCUUGAUUUAUUUCUCUUUCUGUUGAUGGUUUACUUUUGUAGCACGGCGAAGAAAUGUGUGUCUGCACUAUGCAACAUGUAAUUUUGAAUUGCGUUUUCCCAUAUGGAUGCUCUGUUUUAUCAACAUUGCACAGUUUGUUCUUGGUUUCAGCUUGACUUUGUAGUAACUGUAUCAACACUACUUGGUAUUACUUUUCCUUUUGGAUGGUGUGUAAACUUAACAUGUUGCUUAUUUGAUGGGCCUGAGUUGUGUCUAGCAUUGGACAUGUAAACUCAUAAUUGUAUGCUUUGAGUGCUAGGAUAUGGGAUAAUCAAAAGAUGGGUAUCAAUGCAUGCACGCCGUAGGAUGAACAAGAACUGGGGAUAUAUAUAAUUAUUCAUACUGCAAGAAUAAUUAUGCAAGACAAGACUGUUCAUCCAAGUUAAAAUAUUGGGUCAUGCAGGAAGACUAAUAUAUUCAACAAUGCAUGGAUGACUCAUACAACGGUGCAUGCAAGAGUUGGAAUUAAAUAUCAUGGAAAGAGCUCCAAUGGAGACAAGAGCUUCAGUCUGGACAAGAUCAUCUGUCAAGACAAGGUUUUCAGUCUAGACAAAAUCAUCUGUCAAGACAAAGAUUUUAGUCUGGACAAAAUCAUCUGUCAGGACAAAGAUUUCAGUCUGGACAAAACCAUUUGUCAAGACAAAGUCAUGCAUUGGAAUCAUGCAUGGCUAUGCAAACAUAGAUGCUUGACUGUGCAAACUACAAGGCACAUAAAAUAGGGGGCUGUUUCAUCAGCUCACACAAAGGAACAUGCAAGACGUAGAAGUUGUUCCAAGGCAGGCUGUAGUACACCAGCUAGAGAGGAAUAAAGUCACUGACCACAAGGUGCCCCUCGUGCGCUAUAAAAGGGGGAGGACUGAGCGCUGCGAAAGAAACACAUAACACCAGACUCCAGAGCAUCGCAACAUUCUAGCGUCACAACCCUCACACUCCUCAGUAGCCGUAGUAUUAGUAGCUAGCUCCAGUUGUAAUAAAGCCUUUGAGGCAUUGAAUCUCCCCGUGGUGGAGGUAGGCAGAAGGUAGUCCUGUUUUCUCUUUGUAAUCCCUUCGGCGUCUCCCGGAAGGGAAAUCCGUAUGUAAAUUAUGUUGUCGAAAUGAAGUAGUUUUGUGUUUAA